rnacentral:rRNA from 1 species
UGGGGAAUAUUGCACAAUGGGCGCAAGCCUGAUGCAGCCAUGCCGCGUGUAUGAAGAAGGCCUUCGGGUUGUAAAGUACUUUCAGUCGGGAGGAAGGUGGUAAGGUUAAUAACCUUAUCAAUUGACGUUACCGACAGAAGAAGCACCGGCUAAUUCCGUGCCAGCAGCCGCGGUAAUACGGAGGGUGCAAGCGUUAAUCGGAAUUACUGGGCGUAAAGCGCACGCAGGCGGUUGAUUGAGUCAGAUGUGAAAUCCCCGGGCUUAACCCGGGAAAUGCAUCUGAUACUGGUCAGCUAGAGUCUUGGAGAGGGGGGUAGAAUUCCAUGUGUAGCGGUGAAAUGCGUAGAGAGGUGGAGGAAUACCGGUGGCGAAGGCGGCCCCCUGGACAAAGACUGACGCUCAGGUGCGAAAGCGUGGGGAGCAAAAAGG